rnacentral:rRNA from 1 species
AUUGAACGCUGGCGGCAGGCCUAACACAUGCAAGUCGAGCGGAUGAAGGGAGCUUGCUCCUGGAUUCAGCGGCGGACGGGUGAGUAAUGCCUAGGAAUCUGCCUGGUAGUGGGGGAUAACGUCCGGAAACGGGCGCUAAUACCGCAUACGUCCUGAGGGAGAAAGUGGGGGAUCUUCGGACCUCACGCUAUCAGAUGAGCCUAGGUCGGAUUAGCUAGUUGGUGGGGUAAAGGCCUACCAAGGCGACGAUCCGAACUGGUCUGAGAGGAUGAUCAGUCACACUGGAACUGAGACACGGUCCAGACUCCUACGGGAGGCAGCAGUGGGGAAUAUUGGACAAUGGGCGAAAGCCUGAUCCAGCCAUGCCGCGUGUGUGAAGAAGGUCUUCGGAUUGUAAAGCACUUUAAGUUGGGAGGAAGGGCAGUAAGUUAAUACCUUGCUGUGUUGACGUUACCAACAGAAUAAGCACCGGCUAACUUCGUG